GCCUGUCCAAUCAACCGUGGAGAUACCAUCCGGAGAAACCCUUAUUUCUACGUGAAGUGAGGAUUUUGAACUGAACUCUUAAAAAGAGACAGAGUGUUCUGCAAUGGAGCGUUGUGCAGGUCGUAAGUAAAACUGUUUCACACUAAACGCAAAGUUAACAGGGUGUGAUUGUUAUCGAUUACUCGCAGGGUGUUAUUCAACUCGUGCAAAUUUUUUAUUGAGGCGAAUAACAGAUGCAUUACGCAUUUUGUAUGAUUUGUGUUGUGUGAUGCAAAUUCGCUUCUAUAUAAUUAUAGUACUUAAAUUUAUUUAAAACUACAUGCGACGCUGAAACACAAUUUAAAGCUAUCUUUUCCAUGUUGAAAGGAGUCUAUGUUAAAAGGAAUCUACCAACAAUGUUCUAAACAUUUAGUGUGCGAAAUGUUUUAGUUUUGGAAAUAUUUUCAAUUUUUGAGGCGCCAUGGCCAAACAACAACAUGAACUACGAUGACGAUGAUCACCUCAGGGGCUAAUUAUGUGCUUUAUUCAGUGUUAAAUGCUACUAAUGUGAGU
ensembl:processed_transcript